GUGGGGAAUCUUGCACAAUGGGGGAAACCCUGAUGCAGCGACGCCGCGUGAGCGAUGAAGCCCUUCGGGGUGUAAAGCUCUUUCGGCAGGAAAGAUUAUGACGGUACCUGCAGAAGAAGCUGCGGCUAACUACGUGCCAGCAGCCGCGGUAAUACGUAGGCAGCAAGCGUUGUUCGGAGUUACUGGGCGUAAAGAGUGUGUAGGCGGUUCUCUAAGUUUGGUGUGAAAUCUCCCGGCUCAACUGGGAGGGUGCGCCGGAAACUGGAGGGCUGGAGUGUGGGAGAGGAAAGCGGAAUUCCUGGUGUAGCGGUGAAAUGCGUAGAUAUCAGGAGGAACACCGGCGGUGUAGACGGCUUUCUGGACCACUACUGACGCUGAGACACGAAAGCGUGGGGAGCAAACAGGAUUAGAUACCCGAGUAGUCC
rnacentral:rRNA from 1 species